rfam:Cuculus canorus isolate BGI_N303 unplaced genomic scaffold scaffold411, whole genome shotgun sequence.
UUAAAGGCUUUUUUUAUCAAAGCCACCAAAUGCUUUAAUCAAAGAGAGG